UUUUUUAUUAUGUUCUGUAUAUUUCAUAGAAGAUUGAAGGUUACAAAAUGUAUUUGAUGAUGAUAGCUAUAGCAGCCUGACCUAUGUUACUCGGAUUCUUCAUCGAGUAUCCGGGUCGGAUACUCGACACUCGGACAUGAAAACCUAAAGGAAAAGGCCACGCACAACAUGAGCAAGUGAAACCUGCGCAGCUGAACCAUCCGGUCUCAGCGGGUUUUUCGGCUACUACUUCAGGGGCCUCUGGUUUUUUCUGCGGCUCUGGGUUCUGAGUCGGAUUCUUUGCAGGUGUUUCGCCUCCCAAUCUGUAAUUGAAUCAGAGUCAAUUCAGUGCCAUGUUGAACGCAUCAGCACAAAUUUACAUGCUAGAACUUAUAAUAUGUGGAAAUGAAAGCGAGUAAUAACUUACACUGGAAAUGCAAAAGAACUGUUGCUUAUUCUGCUAUUAUCUGAUUGUUGGGAGACCCUGGCAGGUGUAGGAGGUUCGAGGGCUGGAUGCAUUCCAUGACCAUCAGAAGCAUUAGAUGCGCGAUCAGAUAUACGAGUCCUCUCAGCAGAUGUGUGUGUUUCCUUGUUGGUUUCAUUUGCUUGUGUACUAGAAGUACUAUUUCUGCCAUCAUCUAAUUCAUGUUCAUUCACAACCUCAAGGUUAUGAAAGUUAUAAGAUGAAUUUUCAGUAAUAGGAGGUAGAUUGGAUGGAU